GUUUCUAUCUAUGAAGUGCCUUCUUCCAGUACGAAAGGACCGAAGAAAGAAGGCCCAUACUUAAAGCAAGCCUUACCCCCACCUGAUGAAACCAACUUAAUCAGACAAAAGACACACCCCCGCUCAGGCCCUGAAGAAAACAGUU
rnacentral:rRNA from 1 species